rnacentral:SRP_RNA from 1 species
CGCGGCUCCCCGCGUGGCGCCAUCUCACUGAACUCCCCCAGGGCAGGAAUGCAGCAAGGGCAGGUGAGCUCUGACGGGUGCGCGGGGAGUCCUGCUU